GCCAGGCAUGGUGGCUCAUGCCUGUAAUCCCAGCAUUUUGGGAGGCCGAGGCAGGUGGAUCACCUGAGGUCAGGAUUUCGAGACCAGCCUGGCCAACAUGGUGAAACCCUGUCUCUA
ensembl:misc_RNA Metazoa_SRP Metazoan signal recognition particle RNA